rnacentral:rRNA from 1 species
UACAGAGGGUGCGAGCGUUGUUCGGAAUUAUUGGGCGUAAAGGGCGCGUAGGCGGCGCCGCAAGUCACCUGUGAAAACUCUGGGCUCAACCCAGAGCCUGCAGGCGAAACUGUGGUGCUGGAGUAUGGGAGAGGUGCGUGGAAUUCCUGGUGUAGCGGUGAAAUGCGCAGAUAUCAGGAGGAACACCGGUGGCGAAGGCGGGUCUCUGGGCCGAUACUGACGCUGAGGAGCGAAAGCGUGGGGAGCGAACAGG